rnacentral:misc_RNA from 1 species
GAUGAAGAACGCAGCGAAAUGCGAUAAGUAAUGCGAAUUGCAGAAUUUCCGUGAGUCAUCGAAUCUUUGAACGCACAUUGCGCCCGCCGGCAUUCCGGCGGGCAUGCCUGUUCGAGCGUCGUCACGACGGUCAAGCCUCGCUUGGUAUUGGGCACCUCCCCUCGCCCGCGCCCGCCGCGGGCGGGGGAUGCCUUAAACGCCCGUCCGGCGGCGAUACAGCGACACAGCCCCCGAGCGUUGCGGUGCAAUCCGCUCCGGGGCUCCGCGAAGGUCGCCGUGACACCUGGCGCCGCCCACCGCGGCGCCGCACACCACCAACAGUCUGACCUCGGAUCAGGUAGGGAUACCCGCUGAACUUAAGCAUAUCAAUAAGCGGAGGA